UGAACUAGGCAAAUUAACCCCGUAACUUCGGGAGAAGGGGUGCCCAUGCAAAUGGGCCGCAGUGAAUAGCGUCAGGCGACUGUUUAACAAAAACACAGGUCUCUGCUAAGUCGAAAACGAUGUAUAGGGGCUGACGCCCCGGUGCCGGAAGGUUAAAGGGAGUGGUUAGCGCAAGCGAAGCUACGAACUGAAGCCCCGGUGAACGGCGGCCGUAACAAUAACGGUCCUAAGGUAGCAAAAUUCCUUGUCGGGUAAGUUCCGACCUGCACGAAUGGCGUAACGAUCUGACGACUGUCUCAACAACUCGCCCGGCGAAUUUGUGGUUCCGGUGAAGACGCCGGAUGCCCGCCACAAGACGGAAAGACCCCGUGCACCUUUACUAUACCCUAUCAGUGAAUUAUGGGUUGGACUGCGCAGGAUAGGUGGGAGGCUUUGAGAUCGGGUUUUUGGACUCGAUGGAGCCAACGGUGAGAUACCACCCUGUGUAAUCUGUGAUUCUAACCUGCUUCCAUGAUCUGGAAGAGGGACACUGGUAGGCGGGUAGUUUGACUGGGGCGGUCGCCUCCUAAAUUGUAACGGAGGCGCUCGAAGCUGCGUUCAGGUGGUUUGGAAAUCCACCGACGAGUGCAAAGGCAUAAACGCGGUUAACUGCGAGACCUACAAGUCAAGCAGGUGGGAAACCAGGACUUAGUGAUCCGGUGGUUCUGUAUGGAAGGGCCAUCGCUCAACGGAUAAAAGGUACGCCGGGGAUAACAGGCUGAUCGGAGUCAAGAGUUCACAUCGACGCUCCGGUUUGGCACCUCGAUGUCGGUUCAUCGCAUCCCGGGGGUGUAGAAGCUCCCAAGGGUUAGGCUGUUCGCCUAUUAAAGCGGUACGUGAACUGGGUUCAGAACGUCGCGAGACAGUUCGGUCCCUAUCUGUGGUGGGCGCAGGAAAUUUGAGGGGGCUUGGCCUUAGUACGAGAGGACCGGGCUGAACGAAACUCUUGUGAUACAGUUGUCACUCCAGUGGCACAGCUGUGUAGCGAAGUUCGGUUAGGAUAAGCGCUGAAUGCAUAUAAGUGCGAAACCUUCCCCAAGAUGAGAUUUCCCAACCGUAAGGUAAUAAGGGCCGUGGAAGACUACCACGUUGAUAGGACGGGUGUGUAAGAGUAGUAAUACUUUGAGCUAACCGUUACUAAUAGCCCGUUCGGCUUGAUC
rnacentral:rRNA from 1 species